rnacentral:lncRNA from 1 species
AGCUGAGGAAGAGACAUUACUUGUGUCUUCACAGAGGAGGAGACUGAGCUCUCCACUCUCUGCCUUUGCAGCAGCUGCAUUAUGAAUUAAGAAUGAGACACUUCCAUGCAUAUGCACAUAAGCUCCUUUCAUUAAUAAUUCAUAAGGCCAUCAGUCAAGCAGCCGCACAUUCAACACAGGAAAUUGAGGUUAGGCCUAUUUUGCCCUGCUCUUUGAUUUACAACUGGAGACACAAGGUGGAAGGGUUCCUUUCAAAUGCCAUGUGCUUCAGCCUGUCUGGCUCCUUCUGGACACUGAUCACCUUUCUACACCAAUUCAGCCUGUCUUUCUGUCUAGUGGCCACAGCAACCACAAGGGACACCUUUACUGAGAAAGCCCAUAGAACCAUUGCCAUUUUCCAGAGAGAAGAGCUGGGGCAGAAUAGUGCUGUACUAUCUCUGACAUGUGAGGCUGCUGGGAGCUAAUUCUCCCCACUAAAUGACCUUACAUGGUUCAGUAACAAUCUGCUGCAGGAAUCACUGACAUGGAUGAUUGUUCUUUGACUUUUAACCUCCAGGUAAUAGAGAUUAAGUGCUACUUGGAUGGAGACAAUAUUUUCUAGUGUUGAAUUUCUAAUAACUACACGACAUGACAUCAUGAAAAAUAACGGAGUUUACAAUAGAAAGCUACUCCUCCUUUUCUCUCUGUUAUAAACUGCAUUUGUCUCUGGAAGAACUUAAUUCAAAUAUAAUGUCAACAGAGUCUUCAAUUCUUUACAUGUUUUUGGAUCAUAUAUACAAAGAAAGAUCAUUUAAUACAUGUGAAGCUAUAUUGUUAUUAUCAAACACUCUGUUAAGUAGAAGACAGAAAUUUUACUCAGGUUAGAUGGCAAAGAAAUUAAUAUUCUAGUUUCCCAACAGUAUAGAAUUUGCUAAAAUCUGGACGUGGCAAAUUAGUCAUUAUAUACAACAGCUCUUUAGCAGCUAAAUGCUUGUUUAUGCUGUAAUCCCAUGUUGCUCUUAUUGAUUGUAUUUCCUUCUACAGUAUAUACUGUUCUUCCUAGAAGUUGUUUAACUUUUUCUCUUUUUAAUAAAUGUAUUAUUUUCUGAAGUCCUGGAUAGUCU